UACGAAGGGGGCGAGCGUUGUUCGGAAUUACUGGGCGUAAAGGGCGCGUAGGCGGCGACUCAAGUUAGAUGUGAAAGUCCUGGGCUUAACCUGGGGACUGCAUUUGAUACUGGGUUGCUUGAAUUCGGGAGAGGAUAGCGGAAUUCCCAGUGUAGAGGUGAAAUUCGUAGAUAUUGGGAAGAACACCGGUGGCGAAGGCGGCUAUCUGGGACCGACAUUGACGCUGAGGCGCGAAACGUGGGGAGCAAACA
rnacentral:rRNA from 1 species